UACGUAGGGUGCAAGCGUUAAUCGGAAUUACUGGGCGUAAAGCGUGCGCAGGCGGUUAUGCAAGACAGAUGUGAAAUCCCCGGGCUCAACCUGGGAACUGCAUUUGUGACUGCAUGGCUAGAGUACGGUAGAGGGGGGGAUGGAAUUCCGCGUGUAGCAGUGAAAUGCGUAGAUAUGCGGAGGAACACCGAUGGCGAAGGCAAUCCCCUGGACCUGUACUGACGCUCAUGCACGAAAGCGUGGGGAGCAAACAGG
rnacentral:rRNA from 1 species